UAUUCCCCACUGCUGCCUCCCGUAGGAGUCUGGGCCGUAUCUCAGUCCCAAUGUGUCCGUUCACCCUCUCAGGCCGGAUACCCAUCAUCGCCUCGGUGGGCCGUUACCCCGCCGACUAGCUAAUGGGCCGCGGGCCGAUCCUCCGGCGGAGCCUUGGCUCCUUUCACCGCACGUUUCUGAUCCGUGCGCUCGUAUCUGGUAUUACCCCUUAUUUCUAAGGGCUAUCAUCAUGUCCGGAGGGUACGUCACCCACGUGUUACUCACCAGUCCGCCGCUCUCAUGCGGUGCAAGCACCGCAAUCCCGCUCGACUUGCAUGGUUAAGACGCGCCGCCAGCGUUCAUCCUGAGCCAA
rnacentral:rRNA from 1 species